rnacentral:lncRNA from 1 species
UGGAUACCGGAAGUGUUUCUGGUGAGCGGGGCUGGCAACCGAGUGGGCUGAGCUGGUUCUGAGCCCAUCUGCGUAGGAGGUGUGGACACUGAGGGCUGCUUCCCGUUGUGACACUCAGUCUUGAGGGUCAAGGGAGGAAGCUUCUCUGGAAAGCUGGACAAUGGCAGUGAGUGGGUGCCUGGAGGACACUGGAGGUAACGAUAAACAACAAAGCAACUUUCCUUCCUCUUCUGUGGAUGACCUAGUCAGAAGCAUGAGUCAACUGGAGCUGUGGUUCCUCGAGUUGCUCUCCAAGACCCAAUGCCAAGUGCAUUUGAGAUCCUUCAACAAUUGCCUCAUGAUCGCUGUGCACCGCCAAUACAUGUUUGCUGUAAUUACACAGCCUCCAAAGGAGAAGCACAAAAGACUUGUUGAUUUUGGACGGGCUCCGGCCCCUGAGAGGCGAGAGCUGACCCGGGCUCCUGGCAGAGUGUGGGCGGGCAGGCCAGCCGGCCGCCCCGGUGAGGACGUGACCAGCUGAGGCAAGUGCUGAACUCGGGCCAUCGAGGCCAGAACCGGAGUGCUCCAGCCAGCUGACUCCAGAGUGGCUUUCUUUGGAGAAUAACCUAGGAGAACAAAACGAGGAACUGGAGCUCCUAUAUAAAGCAGCUCGGCCUUCCUCCAG